rnacentral:lncRNA from 1 species
UUUUCAGAAUAGAGUACUAUCGGUGGCUGCGUUUAAGCAACAGACCAUUAUGUCAUCUUGCUUCAUAUAUUUUACUCUGAUCUUUUUUAGGAUGAAGCUCAUUUGAGAAAUCUUUCCUCUGCCUUUGGGGAGAAAUAAUUUGCCUCCUUCCACAAGAUCAGCAUGGUGGAUUUUAUGGUGGAUUUCUACAGCUGAGGGACAACUGCCUGUGAGUUUCCAGGUCAUGUAACCUUGCUCACUGUUGUGGAAAGCCUGAGGAGCUCCACGAGGGGUUUAAAAGAGAGAUCUUCCUCUCCUGUUCAGGUUACUUUAAUCUAUAAUAUCAGCAAUAAUCACUGUGGUAUUGUUGCCUAGGCAUUCUUGAAGAGUCAGAAGUGGACUGUAAUUGAAGAGUUCAUUACCAAGAUCAGUUGGCUCCUUGAUUACAGUGGCAAGGUGAAAUAUAUAUCCUCACCAAAAAGCAACUGCUAAACCUUUAGAGAAGUCACCCAC